rnacentral:rRNA from 1 species
UACGGAGGAUGCGAGCGUUAUCCGGAUUUAUUGGGUUUAAAGGGUGCGUAGGCGGCUUUUUAAGUCAGCGGUGAAAUUUUGCAGCUUAACCGUAACAGUGCCGUUGAUACUGGGGAGCUAGGAUUUGGUUGCUGUGGGUGGAAUGUGUGGUGUAGCGGUGAAAUGCUUAGAGAUCACACAGAAUAUCGAUUGCGAAGGCAGCUCACAAAGCCAAGAUUGACGCUGAGGCACGAAAGUGUGGGGAGUCAAACAGGAUUAGA